rnacentral:rRNA from 1 species
GGGUUGUAUGUAGGCACUCUGACCAGCCAUGCCGCGUGCAGGAAGACGGCCCUAUGGGUUGUAAACUGCUUUUGUACGGGAGAAAACCCUUUCACGUGUGAGAGGUUGAUAGUACCGUAAGAAUAAGCAUCGGCUAACUUCGUGCCAGCAGCCGCGGUAAGACGAAGGAUGCAAGCGUUAUCCGGAUUCAUUGGGUUUAAAGGGAGCGUAGGUGGACUUGUAAGUCAGUGGUGAAAUCUCUCAGCUUAACUGAAAAACUGCCAUUGAUACUGCAGGUCUUGAGUACAGAUGAUGUGGGCGGAAUAUGACAUGUAGUGGUGAAAUACUUAGAUAUGUCAUAAAACACCGAUUGCGAAGGCAGCUCACAAAACUGUAACUGACACUGAGGCUCGAAAGUGCGGGGAUCAAACAGGAUUAGAUACCCUGGUAGUCCGCACCGUAAACGAUGAUUACUCGUUGUUAGCGAUAUGACAGUUAGCGACCAAGCGAAAGCGAUAAGUAAUCCACCUGGGGAGUACGCCGGCAACGGUGAAACUCAAAGGAAUUGACGGAGU